UACGUAGGGGGCUAGCGUUGUCCGGAAUCAUUGGGCGUAAAGAGCGUGUAGGCGGUCCGGUAAGUCCGCUGUGAAAGUCGGGGGCUCAACCCUCGAAUGCCGGUGGAUACUGUCGGGCUAGAGUGCGGAAGAGGCGAGUGGAAUUCCUGGUGUAGCGGUGGAAUGCGCAGAUAUCAGGAGGAACACCGGUGGCGAAGGCGGGUCUCUGGGCCGACAUUGACGCUGAGGAGCGAAAGCGUGGGGAGCGAACAGG
rnacentral:rRNA from 1 species